UACGUAGGAUCCAAGCGUUGUCCGGAUUUACUGGGUGUAAAGGGUGCGCAGGCGGACUUGUAAGUCAGGGGUGAAAUCUCACAGCUCAACUGUGAAACUGCCUUUGAUACUGCAAGUCUUGGAUCCAGAAGAGAGUUGUGGAAUUCCGAGUGUAGCAGUGAAAUGUGUAGAUAUUCGGAAGAACACCGGUGGCGAAGGCGGCUCACUGGCCCGUAACUGACGCUCAUGCACGACAGCGUGGGGAUCAAACAGG
rnacentral:rRNA from 1 species